GACGAACGCUGACGGCGUGCCUAAUACAUGCACGUAGAACGCAGUGGCGAACGGGUGAGUAACGCGUAGGUAAAUGCAUCAUAGCGGCGGAUAAAUAUUGGAAAAGAUAGAUAAAGCCGCAUACUGUGAGAUGGACCUGCGUUGUAUUAGCUAGUUGGUGAGGGAAAGGUUCACCAAGGCGACGCUACAUAGCAGACCGGCGAGGGUGAUCGGGCACACUGGGACUUAUACACGGCCCAGAGUCCUUAUGGAGGCAGCAGUAGGGAAUGUUCGGCAAUGGACGGAAGUCUGACCGAGCAACGGUGCGUGAGUGAAGAAGGUUUUCGGAUCGUAAAGCUCUGUUUUUAGAGAAGCGGUAACUAACCAGAAAGGGACGGCUAACGACGUGCCAGCAGCCGCGGUAAUUC
rnacentral:rRNA from 1 species